UACGUAGGGUGCAAGCGUUAAUCGGAAUUACUGGGCGUAAAGCGUGCGCAGGCGGCUUUGCAAGACAGAUGUGAAAUCCCCGGGCUUAACCUGGGAACUGCAUUUGUGACUGCAAGGCUAGAGUGCGGCAGAGGGGGAUGGAAUUCCGCGUGUAGCAGUGAAAUGCGUAGAUAUGCGGAGGAACACCGAUGGCGAAGGCAAUCCCCUGGGCCUGCACUGACGCUCAUGCACGAAAGCGUGGGGAGCAAACAGG
rnacentral:rRNA from 1 species